GACGGGGGCUGGGCCAGCCUUGUUACCUCUUUGCUGGCCAGAAGGGAAAGAGACCCUCCCAGGCUUUCUCGUCUUUAACAUGUGUCUUCACAGAGGUGUGUACAGUUUCCUUAGUGGUUUAACAGAUUGUCAAUUCUCAAAGCUAAUUACUGAUUGGUUUUUUUGUCAGACAUGGAGGAAACUGCUAGCACCUUCUCUUAGGACAUGACUUCCGUGAUGCAAAACCACCACAACAGCACAGAGCACAGAACUCCUUUGUCCAUAUGUAGUAGUCAUGUGCCAAAGGCCUCAAAACCCCACCUUUGGAGAUGUCAGGGCCCUCUCCAAGGUGUUUUGAAAUGAAAACAUGCAGCUCUUCGUCUAAGAAAAUCACCAGAGGACAGGGCCAGCCUGACCUGUCUGUCCUGGCUACUUUUGUCUGGGAGCAAUUCUUGGAUAUACGGAAUUUGGGAGGCCAAAUUCUAAUUUUGGCCAUGGCCUUUGGACAUGAAAGCCAGUUUUUUUCCAUAAGAAGGAAGCAACAGAGCCCCAGUGUUUCCCAGGCGGAUGAGAGGUGACCACCAGAGGCCAAGGCCAGCCAGAGCUGGCAGGUUUUGUUCUGAGAGAUGCCCUUGCAUAGAGGAAAUUUUUUAGGGAGAGUACCUAUUUUGACAAUGGGCACCUGAAAAGAGGGAUGGUUCUUUUCCAUAGCAAGGAAAGCAUGGAGCUCCAGCACUCCAGGAGCUGAUGAGAGGCAGCCCUUGACAUCCCAAGUCAGCCAGACCUGUCAGGUGGCCCCUGGGAGGCCAAGCCAGCCAGACCUGCUCCAUGUUCCCUCGGUUCCAUGGGGCCCUACUGUGUCCCAAUGGUCCCUUGCUUCCAUAAGGCCCUGAAGUGUCCCAAUGCCCCCUUGGUGACACAAGGCCUUGAAGGGUCAGAAUGGUCUCCAUGGUUCCAUCAGGCCCCAUAGAGUCAUAAUGGUCUCUGAGUUGCAUGAAGCCCCGCUGUGUCACCAUGGCCCCUUGGUUCCAUGGGCUCCAGUGGUGCCACAAUGAUCCCCUUGGUUCCACGAGGUCCCCACAGUGUCCCAGGGAUCUCCAUGGCAAGGAAAGAACCCAGCCCCAGCGUUGCAGGGGCAGUCACCAGAGGCAAGGCCAGCCAGACUUGACAGUACUGGCAGAUUUUGCCUGGGAGCAACCCUUGGAUGUAUGGAAUUUUUGAGGUGGAAUUCCAGUUUCAGACAUGGACACCCAGAGAAGGAUGGUUCUGUUCCAUAGGAAGGAAAGCAUGGAACUCCAGUGUUUCGGGGCAGAUGAAAAGCGGCCAUCAGAGGCCUAGGCCAGCUACACCUCUCUGUCCUGGUAGCUUUUGUCUGAAAGCAACCCUUGGAUAUAGGGAAUUUGGGAGAUGGAAGCCCAAUUUUGGCCACUUCUGUGUAGGGGGCACAUUCCUACACUGGGAGGCCAAGCCCGCCAGACCUGUUUGUCCUGGCAGCUUUUAUCAUGGAGGAAUCCUUGGUUAUAUUGAAUUUGGGAGGAGGAAUCUCGAUUUUGACCAUGGACAGCUUGAGCAGAAGGAUGGUUCUUUUCCAUUGGAACAAAAGCACCAGUGUUUCAAAAGCAGGUGAGAGGCAGCCCCCAAGAGGCCAAGGGCAGCCAGACCUGUCUGUCCUGGCAGCUUUCACUGGGGAGAAAUCCUUGUAUGUAUGGAAUUUUGGAGGUGGAAUCCCAGUUUUGGCCAUGGGCACCUGGUCAAGAUGGAUAGUUUUUUUCCUACAGGAAAGAGAAGUGCGAAGUCCAAGUGUUCUGGAAGAAGAUGAGAGGUGGCCACCUUCAGGCCAAGCCAGCGAGACCUGUCUCUCCUGGCGCCUUUUGUCUAGGGGCUAUCCUUGGCCAUAGGGCAUUUUGGAGGUGGAAUCUCAGUUUUGGCCAUGGCUGCCUGGACAGGAAGAAGAGUUCUUUUCAUUAGGAAGGAAAGCGCAGAGCCCCAGUGUUUCAGAGGCAGAUGAGUGCCAGCCCUCAGGAAGCCAGACUAGUCAUCCCUGGCAGUUUUUGUCUGGGAGUUAUCCUUGGAUAUAGGAAAUUCUGGAGGCAGAUCCCCAAUUUUGGCCAUGUGUGCCUGGUUGAGAUGGAUGGUUUUAUCCCAUAAGAAAGAAAAGCACAUGGUCCCAGUGUUUCAAAGGCUGAUGAGAGGUGGCCCCCAGGUGGCCAAGGCAGCCAGAGCUGUCUCUCCUGGUGGAUUUCAUCUGGGAACAAUUUUUGCAUAUAAGGAGAUUUGGAGGAGGAAUCCCAGCUUUGACAAUGGGCCCCUGGAGGAGAAGGACAUUUCUCUCCCAUAGGAAGGAAAGCCCAGAGCCCCAGUGCUUCAGGGGCAGAUGAGAAGCAGCCCUCAACAUGCCAAGGUCAGCUGGACCUGUCAGGUGGUCCCCAGGAGGCCCAGCCAGCCAGACCUGUUCCCUGUUCCCUUGGUUUUGUGGGACCCCACAGUGUCACAAUGGUUUCCUUGGUUCCACGAGGCCCCAGAGUGUCACAAUGUUCCCCCUGCUUCUGCAGUGUCACAAUGGCCCCGUGCUUCCAUGAGACCUUGCAAUGUCGCAAUGGCUCUGUGGUUCCACAAAGCCCUGAUGUGUCACCAGGGCCCCUCGGCUCCAUGCACCCUCGCUGUGUCACAAUGGCUCCUCUGUGACACUACAGGCUCCACAAGGCAGACAUCUGCUGAUAACAGGCUACUGAAUGGCACUGCAUGACUGGUAAGAACUACAACAUCCCAUUGUGAGAUGAUCCGCCCAGAGGGGAGAGCCAAGCAUUCCUACCAGAUAUAAUAUUAAAAAUUCUGGA